rnacentral:rRNA from 1 species
UACGAAGGGAGCUAGCGUUGUUCGGAAUCACUGGGCGUAAAGCGCACGUAGGCGGAUGUGUCAGUCAGGGGUGAAAUCCCGGAGCUCAACUUCGGAACUGCCUUUGAUACAGCACGUCUUGAGUCCGAUAGAGGUGGGUGGAAUUCCUAGUGUAGAGGUGAAAUUCGUAGAUAUUAGGAAGAACACCGGUGGCGAAGGCGGCCCACUGGAUCGGUACUGACGCUGAGGUGCGAAAGCGUGGGAGCAAACGG